GACGAACGCUGGCGGCGUGCUUAACACAUGCAAGUCGAACGGAAAGGCCCUGCUUGCAGGGUACUCGAGUGGCGAACGGGUGAGUAACACGUGGGUGAUCUGCCCUGCACUUCGGGAUAAGCCUUGGAAACUGGGUCUAAUACCUGAUAGGAGCCAUUUUUAGUGUGAUGGUUGGAAAGUUUUUUCGGUGUAGGAUGAGCUCGCGGCCUAUCAGCUUGUUGGUGGGGUAAUGGCCUACCAAGGCGGCGACGGGUAGCCGGCCUGAGAGGGUGGACGGCCACAUUGGGACUGAGAUACGGCCCAGACGCCGACGGGAGGCAGCAGUGGGGAAUAUUGCACAAUGGGCGCAAGCCUGAUGCAGCGACGCCGCGUGGGGGAUGACGGCCUUCGGGUUGUAAACUCCUUUCGCUAGGGACGAAGCUUUUUGUGACGGUACCUAGAUAAGAAGCACCGGCUAACUACGUG
rnacentral:rRNA from 1 species